rnacentral:rRNA from 1 species
CACGUGGGAGGCGAGCGUUGUCCGGAAUCAUUGGGCGUAAAGAGCGCGCAGGCGGCUUGGCAAGUCGGGUGUGAAUCCCGGGGCUCAACCCCGUGACUGCAUCCGAUACUGUCAGGCUAGAGGUAGGUAGGGGAGAUCGGAAUUCCUGGUGUAGCGGUGAAAUGCGCAGAUAUCAGGAGGAACACCGGUGGCGAAGGCGGAUCUCUGGGCCUUACCUGACGCUCAGGCGCGAAAGCAUGGGGAGCGAACAGG